rnacentral:lncRNA from 1 species
AAUACCUGAGAUGAAGAUACCUUCCUCAACCCUCGGUAAAAAAUCAAGAUGAUACCUCCUCACCAACCGUAGCAGCACAAGGCAUCUGUGAAACCGAGAAGGAAGAAGACAGGUAGACCACCAACCGAAGACCAACAGAAGAAAGCCAGAAAGCAACCCGCACAAGAGGCACAGGCGAGAGAUCGGCCAGAGAGCAAAACCCGUGCACAAGAGGCAUAGGCGAGAGAUCGGCCAGAGAGCAAAACCCGCGCACAAGAGGCACAGGCGAG